GACGGCGUCACGAUCGGCAGGAAUCGACGUCACAGGUCUGCAAAACCUUCUACGCGGGUUCGAUUCCCGCCGCCGCCUCCA
rnacentral:tRNA from 1 species